UCAAGCGAAUAAGCGCACACGGUGGAUGCCUUGGCGGUCAGAGGCGAUGAAGGACGUGGCAGCCUGCGAAAAGUAUCGGGGAGCUGGCAACAAGCUUUGAUCCGGUAAUGUCCGAAUGGGGAAACCCACCCGCUUGCGGGUAUCCUGCAGUGAAUACAUAGCUGCUGGAAGCGAACCUGGUGAACUGAAAUAUCUAAGUAACCAGAGGAAAAGAAAUCAACCGAGAUUCCGUAAGUAGCGACGAGCGAACGCGGACUAGCCCUUAAGCUGAUUUGGUUCUAGGAAAACGCUCUGGAAAGAGCGGCCAUAGAAGGUGAUAGCCCUGUAUCUGAAAGGGCCAUUUCAGUGAAGACGAGUAGGGCGGGGCACGUGAAACCCUGUCUGAACAUGGGGGGACCAUCCUCCAAGGCUAAAUACUACUGACCGACCGAUAGUGAACCAGUACCGUGAGGGAAAGGCGAAAAGAACCCCGGAGAGGGGAGUGAAAUAGAACCUGAAACCGUGUGCGUACAAGCAGUAGGAGCUCCGCAAGGAGUGACUGCGUACCUUUUGUAUAAUGGGUCAGCGACUUACUGUUCGUGGCAAGCUUAACCGUAUAGGGGAGGCGAAGGGAAACCGAGUCUGAUAAGGGCGCAUAGUCGCGGGCAGUAGACCCGAAACCGGGUGAUCUAGUCAUGCCCAGGGUGAAGGUGCGGUAACACGCACUGGAGGCCCGAACCCACUCCCGUUGCAAAGGUAGGGGAUGAGGUGUGAUUAGGAGUGAAAAGCUAAUCGAACCCGGAGAUAGCUGGUUCUCCUCGAAAGCUAUUUAGGUAGCGCCUCAUAUGUAUCCUCUCGGGGGUAGAGCACUGUUAUGGCUAGGGGGUCAUCGCGACUUACCAAACCAUUGCAAACUCCGAAUACCGAGACGGACUGUAUGGGAGACACACGGCGGGUGCUAACGUCCGUCGUGAAAAGGGAAACAACCCAGACCCACAGCUAAGGUCCCAAAUUUUGUGCUAAGUGGAAAACCAUGUGGAAAGGCACAGACAGCCAGGAGGUUGGCUUAGAAGCAGCCACCCUUUAAAGAAAGCGUAAUAGCUCACUGGUCGAGUCGGUCUGCGGGGAAGAUUUAACGGGGCUAAGCACAGAACCGAAGCUUGGGGUGCAUACUUUGUAUGCGCGGUAGAGGAGCGUUCCGUAAGCCGUUGAAGGUGGAUUGAGAAGUCUGCUGGAGGUAUCGGAAGUGCGAAUGCUGACAUGAGUAACGAUAAUGCGGGUGAAAAACCCGCACGCCGAAAGCCCAAGGUUUCCUUGCGCAACGUUAAUCGGCGCAGGGUGAGUCGGCCCCUAAGGCGAGGACGAAAGUCGUAGUCGAUGGGAAGCAGGUUAAUAUUCCUGCACCUCGCGUAAGUGCGAUGGAGGGACGGAGAAGGUUAGGUGUACCAGGCGUUGGUUGUCCUGGGGAAAGGCGGUAGGUUUGGAUCUUUGGCAAAUCCGGGAUCCUCUAAGACCGAGCACCGAGACGAGCCUUUAUGGCGAAGUCACUGAUACCACGCUUCCAGGAAAAGCUCCUAAGCUUCAGCUUACGCAGACCGUACCGUAAACCGACACAGGUGGGUAGGAUGAGAAUUCUCAGGCGCUUGAGAGAACUCGGGUGAAGGAACUAGGCAACAUGGCACCGUAACUUCGGGAGAAGGUGCACCCUUUUUGGUGGCUCGUGCGAGCUAUAGCUGAAGAGGGUCGCAGUAACCAGGCCGCUGCGACUGUUUAUCAAAAACACAGCACUCUGCAAACACGAAAGUGGACGUAUAGGGUGUGACGCCUGCCCGGUGCUGGAAGGUUAAUUGAUGGGGUCAGCCGCAAGGCGAAGCUCUUGAUCGAAGCCCCAGUAAACGGCGGCCGUAACUAUAACGGUCCUAAGGUAGCGAAAUUCCUUGUCGGGUAAGUUCCGACCUGCACGAAUGGCGUAACGACAGCGGCGCUGUCUCCACCCGAGACUCAGUGAAAUUGAAAUCGCUGUGAAGAUGCAGCGUUCCCGUGGCAAGACGGAGAGACCCCGUGAACCUUUACUAUAGCUUUACACUGAACGUUGAGUUCGUCUGUGUAGGAUAGGUGGGAGGCUAUGAAACCAUGGCGCUAGCUGUGGUGGAGCCAUCCUUGAAAUACCACCCUGUCGUGCUUGACGUUCUAACCUGGGCCCAUUAUCUGGGUCGGGGACCGUGUAUGGUGGGUAGUUUGACUGGGGCGGUCUCCUCCUAAAGAGUAACGGAGGAGCUCGAAGGUACGCUCAGCGCGGUCGGACAUCGCGCACUGUGUGCAAAGGCAUAAGCGUGCUUGACUGCAAGAUCGACGGAUCAAGCAGGUAGGAAACUAGGACUUAGUGAUCCGGUGGUUCUGUAUGGAAGGGCCAUCGCUCAACGGAUAAAAGGUACUCCGGGGAUAACAGGCUGAUACCGCCCAAGAGUUCAUAUCGACGGCGGUGUUUGGCACCUCGAUGUCGGCUCAUCACAUCCUGGGGCUGUAGUCGGUCCCAAGGGUAUGGCUGUUCGCCAUUUAAAGUGGUACGCGAGCUGGGUUCAGAACGUCGUGAGACAGUUCGGUCCCUAUCUGCCAUGGGCGUUGGAGAUUUGAGAGGGGCUGCUCCUAGUACGAGAGGACCGGAGUGGACGAACCUCUGGUGUUCCGGUUGUCACGCCAGUGGCAUCGCCGGGUAGCUAUGUUCGGAAGCGAUAACCGCUGAAAGCAUCUAAGCGGGAAGCGCGCCUCAAGAUGAGAUCUCCCGGGGCACAAGCCCCCUGAAGGAACCAUGUAGACUACGUGGUUGAUAGGUCAGGUGUGUAAGUACAGCAAUGUAUUGAGCUAACUGAUACUAAUGAUCCGUGCGGCUUGACCAU
rnacentral:rRNA from 1 species